UUUUUUUUUUUGCUUCUAGAUCAUCAUUUCUUAGUUUUAGGUUUUCACAAGCCAAGAUGUAGAGUGUUAUGAAUUAAUUUCUGUCUGGUAGAAUUGCAUGAGGCUAUGUUAGUUAAGAAUGAAAGUGUGUCGUGUUACGGUGGAUGGUGGUGCUGUGCUUGGCCGCACUGCCCAGCAAACAUCCUGCAGCACACACCUCUUUGCUACCUUUGACAAGUGGAUUUGGUGAGCUUGCAAACUAGAAAUAAUUUUGCACAGAUCAAUGAAGCUCCCUGAAAUCGCUGGUGGUUGCGGACUGAUCUUCUCUGGGGCUAGCUAGUAUGUUGAUCUAUCACUCACCAAUGUCAAUGUGUUAUCUGUCAUCUAUUCAUCGUAGAUGAGCACAUCCACACACUACUGCCGCACAUGCACGCUGAUAUAUUGUAUGAAUCAACAAUUCAUCACACCUGGAGUGCAGACUGCAUAAAUACAGAAAAAUGUUCACCGUCAUUAUGUUGUAAACAAAACAAAAUUUUGUGUUGUUCUCACUAACCAAAAAGUUCAUAAUAGUAACUGAUUCUUGCCGCUAUAUAAAAUCAUAAUAAUGGAGCAAAAUGACAGAUAAAUCACUUGUUUGUUUCUCUAAGCCGUAGCUGGCUUCUUCUCCAAGCUUCCUGGAUUUGCCACCAGGUAGCAUGCAUCAGCCACAAAUUAGAAAAAGAAUCAAGCAAAAGAUGAGCACGGAAGAAGGAAGCAUGCUCUUAUUGGAGAGCCCUACCACCUCUAUGUGAGUGCCAUACACCUAGCGAUGAGGCCGCACAACCAUCCAUGCCUGAUGACGAGCCAGUGUGUUACUCGAGGACAAUGGCGAUGGGUGAGUAACCUAAGUCUUUGUCCAAAAGGUUAAUCCUGGAAUUCCGUCUGUCUUCUGGAUUUGGAGAAGUGCUGAUUUUCAUGGACGCAAAUCUUAUGAUAUGGUGGGAAUCUGUUAUGAUAAUCAUCUGUGCCUUAAACGUAUCCUAAUGCCUGAAAGUUGGAUACUGAUAUGUGUGAGCAGCAGUGGCUCCAUGGAUGGUUGCACCUGCCACUUAACAUAAGCGGCUGUCGCAAAUGUCCAUUUAGCUGUUCCAUGUGGGUUGGGGUGGGGGGUGGGGGGUGGGGGGAACUGCCCAUGGGCUGGCCACUGCCACUAGCAACCCUACUGGUAAUUGAUUUAAUUAUGUUUUAAGUAUUUAUCUUGUCAGUUGUUUUAAUAGUGAUAUAUAUGAAAUCUUUGAAUUGUCAUAUGCAAACACCAUUCCACGGCCAAUGCGAGUCAGAAGUAGAAUCAUUCUGUAAUCAUUGAUUUGAUGACAUCAAAUGAUUUAAGUGAUGAAUCCCUGUGACUGAGACCCUGAGUUUAGAGUGCAGACAAUCAAAUUAAUACUUUUUUUAAUGUUUCAACUACUGUACUACAUUCUCAUGAGUUAAACCAUGCAAUAUGUUCUGUAGGAACAAGCGACCAGAGUUCACCGCAUGGUUAUUAGAAGUCAAGCAGGUAUAUGUAUUUCUAUCGCUCUUUUGAUGUUGUCUUUCAUAGAAACAUGGAUAACUUAUGUGCAUGCAAAAAAAAAGGGUCAGGGUAAACAAGGUGUAUACCACUGUUUUACAUGGUGCUAGGCAAAUUAAUUAGCCCCAAAGGAAAUAUUUAUCUAGAAACGAGGAUUAGUGUUCUUUCAGUUGAGCUUAUUUAUUGUCUUCAGCAAAAAGUUUCAUCGUCGUGAAGUUUGUUGCUCGUUGGUCGGUGAGUGUUUGGAGCUUAAGUUACCUGACCUAAAAGUUAAGCAAAACACAAUAUUUGUUCUCCCUCCUUUUCUUUUGAUAUGCCCAAUUUAGAGUUUCUUCCAAUUUCUCUGCCCUAUUGGAUCUUAUUUUGGUUAAGCCCAAUUUCUCUUAUUCUAGUUCUGUUGUCACUUAUCAGGUCACAUAGAGCAGACAAAUGUUAUGUUACUUGAUUGGUACUGCUCAUUAGCUUAGUGUCAUGCUCUCAGGCUUUUUACUCUCAAUCUUGUUUAGUGUUUUUCUUGCUUAUGAUGUUACUGUUAAUUUUAGACUUUUCGGUAAUGCGCCCACAGGUUAAUUUGGAGGCACUGGCUAAUUGGGAAGAAAAACAAAUGUUCAAGGAGUAUGUUACUGUGCUGGCAUGAAAUUACUUGAGUUUCUGGAACUUCUAAAAAAUAUCACCCUGGAAUUACUAGAUGUUUAACAUACAUCUUUAUGUGCAUAUCAGAUUCAUGGAAGACCACAACACAGCUACGUUCCCAUCAAAAAAGUAAUGCAUGUUUCUUUUCAUAGACUGUUAGUGUAUAUAUUCCUAUAUUUGCUAAUGGAAUUUAUGUUUCUCCCCCUUUGUUCUCUUGUUAGAUAUUAUGACUUAGAUGCUUACCAUCAACGGAUGAUGGAGAAAGAGAAAAGGAAUGGUUUAAAGAAUGCGGGUUCGGUAGCAGUCCGUACAGUAUUUAAUGAUGAGGAAGUGCGACGGUAUGUGGACAUGCACAUAUUUUGGGUCUGUAUACCUGCAAUAACAAAGCAUGGGACACCAUAAAAUGCUUCAGUGUAAAUUACUGAAGUUUACUUUACCUGUAGACCUUUGGUAUUGAACUAUCAACCGACCUAUGUUCCACUCAUUUUGGGUAAUAGAAUGGUUUUUUUAACCAAUUACUAUGUCACAGUAACUCCAAAUUGUGAGCCUGUUAUGCCAUGCAAUGUUCCACAGAAAGACAAUUACGAAAAAAUUCUGUAUUAAUUGGUUUCAGAGUUUAUUACACCUUUUUUAUCAUUGGCUUACAGUUUUCUGUAAAAAAAUCAUGCAGGUUAGAACUGUUGCAAGAACGUGAACGCCGAAAGGAGGAAGAAGUGACAGCUCUAAAACGCUCCAUGCAAACUGGAAUGGUUAGAAUAUUGCAGUUUUUUUUUUCUGCUCCUAUUCUCAUCCUUCAGUUUAUCCUCUGAACUUGGAAUUAUUUUGAGAAUGCUCAUUGGCAGUGUCUUGUUUUUUCCAAUAUCUACGCUAAAAAGUGUCUCAUUGACAGCAUAGGUUUGACAGUGCAGGCUGCCCAAUUUUGUUGCAUUGUUAGCAUACAAGUUCUUUUAUGUAUCCUAGAUGUUGUUCAGUCUUCCAUGAAUGAAACGUAGUUGUGAAUUCUGUCUUGGGGCCGUACUUGCUCGGUUACUUGAUGCCAAGGGGCACUAAUUUAUGUUCAUAUUUCUGUUCUGUUGGGAACAUAUGUACUGUUGUGGGCUUGAACCUAUGAGGUUAUGACCUCAACCACUGCCAUGUGCUCGGCCAUUUAUGUUAUAUAUAGGUGCAUCUUCCUGUUUUUUGGAAUCUUCCCUUGUACAAUAGCUGGGAAUCCCCAAGUUUUGCUUUGUAAGGUUUACCUAAUCCAGUUUUUUGUUAGGUGUAUGCUAUUGAACGUAUGACUGCAAUUGUGCUUACAUCCUGCUAGGCUGUGCACUAUCUUCUGAUGAUACGAUCAGCAAUGGAUUAUUAUGCAGACACCAAGCAUUAGCAUGGGUUUACAUGAAAGUCACUUUUUGUUCUAUCAAUUAACCUAUUAUUAAUCUUGUUUUGCUCCCCAUGUCAGGCUCAAGCGAUGAAGCAGCAGUCCCUUCUACGUGAGGAAAUGAUGUUACAGUACAAGUUGGGCAAUUUCGAGGUAAUGCCCUCAUACCAACCCUUACAAAAAUUUCAGCUAGAUGGAAAACGCACGCUACUUAUGCCAAGUUUUUUUUAUCAGGCCGCAGCUGCAAUCCAGAAAAGGUUGGAUCCUGAUGCUCCCCCUCAAUAGGCGUCGACAUACCGUUUUCUCAGAAGUUAUUUCUCAUACAUCUUCAUGAGCAACAUACUGUGAUGUACCGCAGUUUAUUUGCACAAAAAGUAUACUGAGCUGGCUUGGAAAAUGCUGCUACUGUACCUGUACUGUAUAAUUUUGAAAAUUUUGCUCGUUAGUUUCAAGUUGUGCUGUAUGCAUCAGUUUGGUACAUUGAACUGUAAGAUUUUUCGAAGUUUUUCUACUCCAUAGGCAUCUCAUUGUUUUUUUUUAAUUCAUAUAGGCAUCUGAUUGUUUGUCGCUUGGUGUGGCAAGUCGUGUCAGUCUGUCAGUGACUCAUGAGUUGGGGCUUUCAAUGAUUCGUAGCUCGGCGCUUUAACCCUUAGGCUGUCAGCUUUUAUAUUUAAACUAAACUAUAUUCAUGUACGAGGGUAUGCGCGAGACUCUUGGCUUUUAGUGCUGCGGCAGCAUCGUUUCGCUUGUUUUAACGUUGUGCUAGGUAUGAAGAAUAUUGCAAUGCAAAAAAGCAACAGUGGCUUUUUAUCAUCGAAGUUUCGAGUCUUGCUUCAGAAAUGGUGUAACAGUGAAAGACGCUGUGAACGCCAGAUGAAAUACUGUUGGCAGGUCCGUUUCAAAAAAAAAAAACUGUUGGCAGGUAGCCAUAUUUUUUUCUACGAAACGGACAGAUAGCCAUAUUGAUCACCUCAUAACGUUGGGUGGAAAAAGACAAAAGCAUCUCAACUACACAUAUAUGAUCUUUUUUUUUGGAUCUAUCAGAAAUUCACAAUAAACUUGAGGCAAGGAAGAAGAACAAGGAGAAGGAAUAAUAAUAAUAUUAAACAAGGGAAUAUAAGAAGGCUAAAUAUAAGCCUAUACUGACAGGCGAUUCUUCACAUCAAAAGUUGACUCAAAAACAGAUCCAACAAACCAAAUCACAACCACAACCAGAGAAAAAAAAGAGAGCACAAGGCCAGACGGCUAUCCUAUCAGGCAGUACUACAUGAAGCAACUAGUGGACUGGAGCGAAGGGAAGCAGACGGCCGGGGUGAUGCGAUGGAUGGAUCGAUCAGCGCUUGAUGGCCUUGACCUUGUUCCACGUCUUCUUGCCGAAGUCGCCGACGACCCUGACGCCCUUGAGCACCGCCACCUUCACCUCCAUGGUCCGCUCCUUCACCUGCCGCUGGAACCCUCCCAUCUCUUCUCUCUUCUCUUCUUGGUCGGAGAGGAUUCCUGUGGCUCG
rnacentral:lncRNA from 1 species